UGAAGACUCGCGUAUUUGGUAAUUUUACAUCUCUCAAGAGUAGAAUUGCAUUGCAAGUUGCAACGGAAAAAUUGCACCGUGUAACAUGGCCUUUUCAAAGGUGUCAACGGAAAAUCAUCAGUGAAUGUCGAUGACUUCAUUUCAAGGCCUUUCAAGUUGCACGAAUAUAACUUGCGGUCAGUUUUACAAAUUUUUUUCUUUCUAAAUCGUGCAGCACAACUAUCAUUUAUUAGUUAAAGGAUUAACAUGUAAGUAUGGGCCAAUUGAGCCAAUGGCAAUGUAGAGAUUGUUAAAUUAUUAUUUUUACAAAGUCAGACAAUGUCCCGUUUGGCCGUAUUAAAAGCUGCUUUCCUGUCCUUUAAAUUAAAAGUACCAGGGGAGGUACGAGUGCCUUCUGCAGUUUGAAAUGCUGUACAGUAAAGGAACUUUGCCCAUCUUUAACCACAC